CUGGCCUUCCUUGCCAAUUUUGCAGGGAGGGAAGGUCUGGUUAGUCCUCCCCGGCCGGCCGGCAGCUGCCUCUCAAAUCCACGUAAAGCUGCAGCCGAUCCGUGGCGGAUCUGUGGCUGUGUCGCCUCGAAAGCAGAUACUGGUAGCCCGCCAUGGCUCCCAAGCCUUCAGAUCGAGCGUCUCCAAACGGAGCCUCGCAGGUUGCUAGUCCACAAGAGCGCUUCCCAAGCGGCCCGAGAUGUUUAUGGAUGUAUUGACCGUAUUUAUAUAUACCGCCCCAGAUAAAAUCUCUGGGCAGUUUACGAUUGAAACCCAACGGCAGGUAAAACCUAAAAACGGAUUAAAAAUCACCGUCAGUAACACUUUAAACAUCGUAAACGGAAAGCCUGAUGAAAUAGUAAUUGACCUGCUGACAGUGACAGAAGCCCGACACAUGAGCAGCGUGGCCAGCAAGAUCCGGACGGAGCUGCUCGUGGUCAGCAACCUCUACUUGCUCUCCACCUUCCGCCUGCCCCCCAAGCAAGGAGGGGUGCUCUUCGGCCUGCAUUACAGAAAGGACAACACGCGUUGGUUCGAGGCCUCCGUCGUCGGCAAGACCAAUAAAGUCCUCCUCCGGUACCUGCGGGCGGACGGCAAGCUGCAUUCGGUGAACCUGCAGAACGCCAACCUGGCGGAUGGCCGCACCCACACCGUCCUCCUGCGGCUGAGCGGCCUGCAAGGGAGCACCCUGGCCGCCGAGCUGUAUGUAGACUGCAAGCUGGUGGACUCCAAUGCGGGGCUGCCGGCGAUGGCGUCCCUCGACCUGGACCAGCUGGAGGCCGUGGAGGUGCGGACAGGACAGAAGGCGUAUCUCCGCAUUCAGGGCUUCAUGGAAUCGCUGAAGCUGAUCCUCGGAGGGUCUAUGAGCAGGGUAGGAGCUUUGAGCGAAUGUCCCUUCCAGGGUGACGAGUCCAUGCAGAACACAGUAUCCAACGUGAUCAAUUCUCUCUUUGGUGAGCAAACGAAGGCCCUCGUGAAACAGUUCACCCUCUUCAACCAGAUCCUGAUGGAACUCCAGGAAGAUAUGCGAGACCAGGUAAAGGAGAUGUCCUUGAUACGGAACACCAUCAUGGAAUGCCAGGUGUGCGGCUUCCAUGAGCAUCGCUCCCGUUGCAACCCGAAUCCUUGCUUCAGCGGUGUUGACUGCAUGGAGACCUACGAGUACCCGGGCUACCGUUGUGGGCCUUGCCCGCCCGGCUUUCAGGGCAACGGCACCCACUGUGCCGACAUCGAUGAGUGUGCCCACGCCAACCCCUGCUUUCCCGGGUCCAAGUGCCUCAACACAGCCCCUGGCUUCCGCUGUGAACCCUGCCCGCCAGGCUAUAAAGGGAACCUCGUCUCCGGGGUAGGGGCUGACUACGCAAAGGCCAGUAAACAGGUUUGUGUGGACAUCGACGAAUGCAAUGACGGCAACAAUGGCGGGUGUGACCCCAACGCCAUCUGCACCAACACCGUGGGAUCCUACAAAUGCGGGCCUUGUAAAUCCGGCUUUGUGGGGAACCAGACGGGGAGCUGCGCCCCGCAGAAGACCUGCCAGAGCCCCACCCACAACCCCUGCGACAUCAACGGCUACUGCCUCUUUGAGCGGAACGGGGACGUUUCCUGUGCAUGCAACGUGGGUUGGGCGGGAAACGGGAACAUUUGUGGACCCGACACGGACAUCGAUGGCUACCCGGACGAACCGUUGCCCUGCAUAGACAACUAUAAGCACUGCGUCCAGGACAACUGCCGGCUCACGCCCAACUCGGGACAAGAGGACGCCGAUAACGACGGCAUCGGGGACCAGUGUGACGACGACGCGGAUGGCGAUGGGAUCAAGAAUGUGGAGGAUAACUGCCGCCUCUUUCCCAACAAAGACCAGCAGAAUUCGGACACCGAUUCUUUUGGGGACGCUUGCGAUAACUGCCCCAACGUACCCAACAAUGACCAGAAAGACACAGACGGCAACGGGGAGGGAGACGCUUGUGACAACGAUAUCGACGGGGACGGAAUCCCCAACGUGUUGGACAAUUGCCCCAAGGUACCCAACCCGCUCCAGACGGAUCGUGAUGAAGACGGGGUGGGUGAUGCCUGUGAUAGCUGUCCGGAGACGAGCAACCCGACUCAGACAGAUGCAGACAGUGACCUGGUGGGUGAUGUCUGUGACACCAAUGAAGACAGUGAUGGUGACGGCCAUCAGGACACCAAAGACAAUUGCGCAGAGAUCCCCAACAGCUCCCAGCUCGAUUCGGACAACGACGGCUUAGGGGACGAAUGCGACAAUGACGACGACAACGACGGAAUCCCCGAUUACGUGCCCCCCGGUCCAGACAAUUGCCGCCUCGUUUCCAACCCCAACCAGAAAGACUCGGAUGGCAAUGGCGUCGGGGAUGCGUGUGAGGAAGACUUUGACAACGAUACGGUGGCCGACCCGAUGGACGUGUGCCCGGAGAGCUCCGAGGUGACGCUGACCGACUUCCGGGCGUACCAGACGGUCAUCCUGGACCCGGAGGGUGAUGCUCAAAUUGACCCCAACUGGGUGGUUCUCAACCAGGGCAUGGAAAUCGUCCAGACGAUGAACAGCGACCCAGGUCUGGCUGUAGGGUACACGGCAUUCAACGGGGUGGACUUCGAGGGCACCUUCCACGUGAAUACCAUCACCGACGAUGACUACGCCGGAUUUAUCUUCGCCUAUCAAGACAGUGCGAGCUUUUACGUGGUCAUGUGGAAACAAACGGAGCAGGCGUACUGGCAGGCCACACCCUUCCGGGCCGUGGCCGAGCCUUGCUUGCAGCUCAAGGCGGUGAAGUCCAGCACGGGUCCAGGUGAAUACUUGCGCAAUGCGCUGUGGCACACAGGCAACACCGCUGACCAGGUGCGGCUGCUCUGGAAAGAUCCACGCAACGUGGGGUGGAAGGACAAGACCUCUUACCGCUGGCGCCUCUUGCACCGGCCCCAAGUGGGCUACAUCAGGGUGCUGCUUUACGAGGGGCCCCAGCUGGUUGCCGACUCAGGCGUCGUCCUUGACACGACCAUGCGAGGCGGGCGCUUGGGGGUCUUCUGCUUCUCGCAGGAAAACAUCAUCUGGUCCAACCUGCAGUACCGUUGUAACGACACGGUCCCCGUGGACUUUGAGCCGUUCCGCCGGAUGCUGCUGGAAGCCCCAUGAAGGAGAGCCAGAAGGAGCACACCACCCCCCAUGCUGGACCAGGUCUUUCCACAGAGACCCCGGGGGGGCUUGUCAAACGCCCUGUUGUGAGUAAGCCUGCAGCAAAACAAAGUCCAAAUCUUCUCAGACAAAGGAGGAGUUUCAGCUCAGCAGUAAAGCACCAGCUUCCACCCCAAAGGCCCCAGGUUCAACCCCUAGCAGCAUCUCCAGAGAUGUAAACAAAACAGGAGAGAGAGGAAAGGAGAGGAGAGGAAGAAGGAAAGGAGGGAGAAAAAGAGGAGCAGAAGGGAGGAGAGAAAGACAAGCAGGAAGGAAGGAAGGAAGAGCAGAGAGUGAGAAAAGCAGCCCAGCUUCCCAGCAGCAGCAGCAGCAGCGUUGAGCUCGGAAGAACCUCCCGAGACUAGACUUCAUCCCAACUCAGGUCGGCGCUACAAGAGUUCGAGGACUCGAUUUGGAAGCAUCGGCCGCGGUGGCGCAGCGGGGAAGCGACUCGCCUAGGAUGCGAGAAGCUGACGGUUCGAAUCCCCGUGGGUGCCGCUGCCGCGAUCGUCCAUUACUUUAGUCGGUCGGUUGUUACACCGGGUUAUGGGUCCUGCCACCUGCGUAGCCUUGGGCAAGUUGCGCAGUCUCAAAUGGCCCACCUUGGCAGGACCCCAUUUGGGGCUGCGGAGCGAGCUUGAGGUGAGAAGGUGAGUAGGGCCCAUAACCCAGGGAAAGAACCGACCUUAUAUUUAUUGCCAGCUAGCGGAUUUAAAAAAAAAUAAAAAUAAAAUAUUUUUUUUCUUUCUA